UGAACGUUGGCGGCAGGCUUAACACAUGCAAGUCGAACGAGAAAGCACCUUCGGGUGUGAGUAAAGUGGCGGACGGGUGAGUAACGCGUAGGAAUCUACCCAGUAGCGGGGGACAACUCCGGGAAACCGGUGCUAAUACCGCAUACGCUCUUUCUUUUGGUUAAGAGGGAGGAAAGAGGGCCUCUAUUUAUAAGCUCUCACUAUUGGAGGAGCCUGCGUUGGAUUAGCUAGUUGGUAGGGUAAAGGCCUACCAAGGCUACGAUCUAUAGCUGGUCUGAGAGGACGAUCAGCCACACUGGAACUGAGACACGGUCCAGACUCCUACGGGAGGCAGCAGUGGGGAAUCUUGGGCAAUGGGCGCAAGCCUGACCCAGCCAUGCCGCGUGUGUGAAGAAGGCCUUCGGGUUGUAAAGCACUUUCAGUAGUGAAGAAAUGCUUAGGGUCAAUACCCCUGAGUUUUGACGUUAGCUACAGAAGAAGCACCGGCUAACUCC
rnacentral:rRNA from 1 species